GGGUCGUUAGCUCAGCUGGUAGAGCGUCUCGUUUACACCGAGAAUGUCGGCGGUUCGAAUCCGUCACGACCCA
rfam:Roseivivax halodurans JCM 10272 contig4, whole genome shotgun sequence.